rnacentral:tRNA from 1 species
GGGCCCGUGGUCGAAGGGCUAAGAUGCCGCCCUUACAAGGCGGAGGUCCAGGUUCGAGUCCUGGCGGGCCCA